AGGACCAGGACGCAUAGAUGAUCUAAAAACAGCGCUGUUAAGGGUGGCCGGAAGCUUAUCCCGUGUCUAAGGCAAAUGCAAAGAACACCGCAAAGAAACUGAUCCUGACUCAGUAGAAGGUACACACAGUCUUGAGCCUGGAGAUUGGGUGGUGGUAAAGAGGCAUGUGAGGAAAACCUUUGAGCCCAGAUUUGAUGGUCCCUUCCAAGUCCUGUUGAAAACUGCAACUUCCAUAAAGGUGGAAGGAAAGCCUAACUGGAUUCACGCCUCACAUUGCAAGAAAGUGCCAAAACCUGAGGAUGGAGAUCCUUGCACUGCUACUCCUGGCUCUGAGCAUCCAAGCUCUACAUGUGAACCUAAAAAGUGACUG